GAUGAACGCUGGCGGCGUGCCUAAUACAUGCAAGUCGAGCGAACAGAUAAGGAGCUUGCUCCUUUGACGUUAGCGGCGGACGGGUGAGUAACACGUGGAUAACCUACCUAUAAGACUGGGAUAACUUCGGGAAACCGGAGCUAAUACCGGAUAACAUAUUGAACCGCAUGGUUCAAUAGUGAAAGGCGGCUUUGCUGUCACUUAUAGAUGGAUCCGGGCCGUAUUAGCUAGUUGGUAAGGUAACGGCUUACCAAGGCAACGAUACGUAGCCGACCUGAGAGGGUGAUCGGCCACACUGGAACUUAGACACGGUCCAGACUCCUACGGGAGGCAGCAGUAGGGAAUCUUCCGCAGUAGGCGAAAGCCUGACGGAGCAACGCCGAGUGAGUGAUGAAGGUCUUCGGAUCGUAAAACUCUGUUAUCAGGGAAGAACAAAUGUGUAAGUAACUGUGCACAUCUUGACGGUAACUGAUCAGAAAGCAACGGCUAACUACGUG
rnacentral:rRNA from 1 species